CCUACGGGAGGCAGCAGUGAGGAAUAUUGGUCAAUGGCCGGAAGGCUGAACCAGCCAUGCCGCGUGAAGGUCAGUGCCCUAUGGGCGUUAAACUUCUUUUGUGCGGGAGCAAUAAUGGUCACGUGUGGCCAGACGAGAGUACCGUACGAAUAAGCAUCGGCUAACUCCGUGCAAGCAGCCGAGGUAAUCCGGGGGAUGAAAGGUUUAUCCGGAUUUAUUGGGUUUAAAGGGGGCGUAGACGGUGAGGUAAGUCAGCGGUGAAAUGCCCCCGCUCAACGGGGUGAAGUGCCAGUGAUACUGCCUUGCUGGAAUGCGGAUGCCGUGGGAGGAAUGUGUGGUGUAGCGGUGAAAUGCGUAGAUAUACGGAGGAACACCAGUGGCGAAGGCGGAUUGCUGGACAGUAACUGACGCUGAGGCGCGAAAGCGUGGGGAGCAAACAGGAUUAGAUACCCUUGUAGUC
rnacentral:rRNA from 1 species